UUUCUUCACCUACUACUUCACAAUUUUCUUCACCAAUACGUUCACAAUUUUCUUCACCAAUACGUUCACAAUUUUCUUCACCUACUACUUCACAAUUUUCUUCACCUCUAAAGUCAAUCUCCAAAUAGAAUUUUGCUUCUUUAAAACCUAUUCCACUAUCUCAACUCACCCAUUCCCACCUCUGCAGCAAGUUUUAUAAAGUAAUAGAGUGAAGAUUAUUCAUCUCAUUCAAUUCUUCUUCACAAUUGGCUUCUAAUCUAUGCCAUAUAUAAAAUCUGCAGAGACUAAUACCAUACACCUAUUCAAGGUUCAAAUAAACAAAAGCGUCUGAGUAACCUAUCGCGCUAAGGAAAGAGAAUCGUUGUCUUAAGUAGCAAAACACUGCAAUCAGGUUGAGCUGAUGUGAUGAUGGUGCUGCAAUGAGCGGAGUCUCCAGGGUUGUUAAUAAAUAGUUAACCUGUCUAGAAUAUGUCUUCAUACAUAUGUCUAGCUACUUUCCGCUGCAAGAUGUUGUUGAUGUUAUAGUAUGUUAUGUCAUACUUUGAGUCUUAAGAGAAUGGUUUCAUAUGAUGUAUAACUUGAUUAAUGAUAUUA